AGGUGCAGGUUAGUACCUUCCUAUUUAAUAAUGUGCCAAGCGGAGGUAGUGACCCAAGUUGAGCAUGGCAGGGAUUGCGAGGAGAGUUGUGCAGAGGAAGGGCGAGGGAGGACAUGCCAGGAUCUACAAGUAAACAUCGGCAAGAAAAUUUCCUCCAUUGGCUGCUGGAUCGGAGCGGAUCUUUCCCAGUGUGUUGAUGGCCACAGCGGCAGAGUAUUUUUCUCUUCCCAAGGCAUGCGUGAGGACGAAGAGGCCAUGUUUGAUCCUGUGCGUGAUGAUUUCGGUUGUGAUCUGCUGCUGGCUGUGGGAUAUGCUUGGACUGUGGAUGUAUGGGGUCAAGGUGCUGUGUGCCUUGCCCGCAACAAACAAGUGAGCCCGUGGGUGGUGGUUGAGAUGCGCAAGGUGUCGAUGCCGGAGCUCUGGACGAUGGCGCGGGCGUUGGGAUAGAGGCAGAUGGAGAUCUUCUCAGGCGACCCUGCAGCUGGGAGGAGGAAAAUCGGCACUAGCGAUCCAUGUGCCGAGGCUGAUGCUGGUGAGAGGGGGCGGCGCACGGAGGGGCAGGCAAAGGAGGUGGCGCCUCUGAGGAGCAGUGCUCGGCUUCUAGCAGCGCAAGUACCUGGCCUCAUCCACGUCUUCGCAGUCGCUGAAGACGACGGCUCCUAUUGACAUCAUUUCUGGUGAGCUCCAUUGCCUGGUGGAGCGAGAGAUCUUUCUCACAUGAUAAGGCUGCGUCGAUCCCUGAUUUAUUCACGAAGUACAACGGAGCUGCCUCUUUCUCUACUAGAACUCAAUCCAUUUCGCAUAUAUGAAAUAAUCCAUUGAAAUGGCGUAUUGUUUUGUAAUCCAAAUGUGAAGAGGUAGCUCUCGGAGGUCCACGUUAAGGAAAUGACGGGGAAUUUCAGCUGGUCUUAUAAAAAGUAUGUAUGAACAAUUAACUCAUUUGGGAUGCUAACACCCAUUAACUCAUUACAUGGGGUGGUUUAAUAUCACAUUGUUUGAUUAUCUGAUGACUUCCAUUGUGCUGCAAUUAAAUUCCUACAUUUAUGUUUCCAUUAUAUGCUCCUUCCGUUAAUUUCUCCUUAGAAAUCGGGUGUUCAGCAGGGAGUACAAUGCUGGUAGAUAUGACAUGACCUGAUGGAUGAUGACAUCAUCACGGCCAUCUCAGGCAUGUGGCAAACUCCCUCCUCACACUUGUGCAGAUGGGACAAAGUUUUAUUCGUUAGGUGAGUGCCUGUCUUGAUAAGAUUUGUUUUUCUUGCCUUGUGAUUUCGAAGCCAAGAUUACAGUUUGGUAAUCCGUGGUUGUAGAAGACACGAAGAAACUAGAGUUGCUCUGCCACAUAGCUGGCCAAGCGGCAAUGCGUAGUUACAGCUAUUGGAAAUAGUACUGGUACUAUGGAGAUCCCAUGUUCCUCUCUCUCUCUCUCUCUGAUCCCAUUUUCUGAAUCAUCCAUGGUGUCAUAAUCAACGUUUUCUUGGUUUGUAGUUACAGGUUGCAAUGGGGAAUAAUUACAACGGUUGAUGAUGAUUUAGAAGUGUUAGAUCAUAUUGACAAUAAUUGGAGUGGAAUUGGUUUUGAGUAAUUUAUUUUUGGUUAGGGAAUAUUGUCAGAUAAUAUUUAUUAAAGAAUUAUAGAAUUGUGCAGGGCCAGCUUUUAUCCCUUGAUGGUUCAGGGUUGAGCUAAUUGUCUUUGUUAUAUGGUUUAUUUCAGCUCACAUAAAGGAACAGAGUUUGCAUCUUCUGAUUUUAUGGGAAUCCCGGAGAAGAACUUAUGGCACGAUUUGUCUCCUUCACUUGUCUUGAGUUGAUCCAUUUCUUAAAAUCUACUCUGCCCUAUGUUCGCCCCCAACGCCAAAAUCUGGGGCUUCCCUCUCAAGGUUCAGGGAGGCGGUAACACGACAUGUAGCCUGCAGGGCUGUACAAUUAGCAACAAAGCUGCCUUUUUCAGAGAUGGUGUUAAAUGAUUGAGGAAUCAGGUCUGAAACUACUAUGCUGAAUCAGUUGUUUUGCCAGGUCCAGAUAAGUAUCUAUCCAAUGAUAUUUAAUAUCACAUUUGAUAGUUCCAGAUUUUAGAAGAUCAUUUGGUGCAUAUGACUAUGGAUUUGGUAAGUAAACGGUAGUUUUACAACUAUAGUAACUGUUGGGUAGUGAUUACAGAUGAUGUGCAUGACAAGGUGUAUCAGCCUUUCCUCUUUAUCUCAUCUUAUUGUUUCUUCAUUUUUCUUUGUAAAUGACAAAGAAGGGUUUUCUUUUGUAGCCUGCUGGAAUUAUCAAUUACUAGAAUAUAUAAUAAGUUGUUUAUGUUAAUAGUUGGCACUUACUUGCUUUGUGAUCUUUGAAAACUUUUCUUGCCAGAAAUGAUGCCGCUUUUGUUGCUAUGCUAGAUUUUGGAUUUUUAUUUUGUUUUCACUAAUUAUAUCAUCGGAAAUUCAGAUAAUGAUGGUAAGGUUUCAGGUAAUACACGUUAUACUUAUUAUCCUUAGAAAUUGACAUCCUGAUGUUGCUCGUGUAACUGGGUAUUGAGAUCUUUAUGAUAUUUUGUCACUUCAAGUUGAUGUCCAUGACCAGAACUAUAUUAGUAAAAACUAGGCCUAUUUCUUAUAUAUGUUUUAUGUGUGUAAAUGCCCCCUCAGUUCUUGUUUGUUGUGCAUACAUUUGUCUUGAUAUUGUUAAACGGACUAUUCAUGUGAUGUUGGUUUGUUCAGGCGUACAUCUGCGGUGAGCAGUUAGUUCAGGUCACUAUACUUAAAUUUUUUAGUUCAGGCUAUUGCCUUUAAAAAGGUUAGCGGAUCCCACUCCGGCCCAUUUCCUGAAAUUUUUUGUAUUAGAUUGCCUAAUUUCACUUUCCAUAAUAUAUGCUCCUCUUUUUACGAUUAGACAAUAAUACUUGAAUUAUUAGGUAUUCUUGAUGUGUCCUUUCUUUUGACCUGUACUGUAUCCUGUUGUUAUGAGUUAUGACUUCUGCUAUGUUAGGAGUGGAUAUUAGAGCAGUGCGUACAGGGAGGCUGAACUUGCUAGCCAGAGGAAUGAAGUAGACAGUUGCUUUUUAUUGUGCCAUUAUAUUUACAACAUAGGUCUAUAUUAUCUAUUGUGAGUAUCAAUGCCACUUCAUACUUUAGACAUUUACAGACAGAAAGCUUCAGCAGCAUUGACAACUACUUGAUGGAAGCAUGGACCCGGCUAGGUGCCUCGGUUUAGAUUUGUGGCCGGUUCAGGUGCUGAUCAGUGCUGAUCAUAUGGAGCAUGUGUCUCCACACUGAAGCAGAGGCCUGCCUACAAUCACUAUUUCAGGCUCAAAUCUGGUGGUAUUUCUGGCGUUCGAAACUGACUCACAACUUGUGGUGCAAGCGAUCAAGGGAAGCGAGCAAGACUUGGCUUGGAAUGAUGCUAUGUUUAGGGAGAUUAAAUUUCAGAUUUCAUUAAACUUCUCUGUUCUCAGUAUUUCAUUGAAUCAAGUGGCAGACGCCACGCUAUGGCAUCCUAGGACUCAAGAGACAGUAGGCAUGUAGGACUGCAGGAAAGCGACUGAAAAUAUGUUGGGUUCUUUUGCU